AAAGUCGUAACAAGGUUUCCGUAGGUGAACCUGCGGAAGGAUCAUUAUUGAUUGGUCGAAAGACCUUAUCAGAUUCUACCACCUCUGUGAACUGUUGGACCUCUGGGUCUACAAUCAAACAUCAGUGUAACGAACGUAAGAGUAUCUUAACGAAACAAAACUUUCAACAACGGAUCUCUUGGCUCUC
rnacentral:misc_RNA from 1 species